rnacentral:rRNA from 1 species
AUUGAACGCUGGCGGCAUGCCUUACACAUGCAAGUCGAACGGUAACAGGUCUUCGGAUGCUGACGAGUGGCGAACGGGUGAGUAAUACAUCGGAACGUGCCCGAGAGUGGGGGAUAACGAGGCGAAAGCUUUGCUAAUACCGCAUACGAUAUCAGGAUGAAAGCAGGGGACCGCAAGGCCUUGCGCUCACGGAGCGGCCGAUGGCAGAUGAGGUAGUUGGUGGGAUAAAAGCUUACCAAGCCGACGAUCUGUAGCUGGUCUGAGAGGACGACCAGCCACACUGGGACUGAGACACGGCCCAGACUCCUACGGGAGGCAGCAGUGGGGAAUUUUGGACAAUGGGCGCAAGCCUGAUCCAGCCAUGCCGCGUGCAGGAUGAAGACCUUCGGGUCGUAAACUGCUUUUGUACGGAACGAAAAGACUCUGGUUAAUACCUGGGGUCCAUGACGGUACCGUAAGAAUAAGCACCGGCUAACUACGUGCCAGCCGCCGCGGUAA